rnacentral:pre_miRNA from 7 species
AUUUUUGGGGUCACUUAUAUAUACUAUCAUACUGAAAGACCCCCGAAGGGAGACCCUCACUCAAGCCUCGGGACAGCCGCGGACCCAAGAAGACACUGAGACCG